CUCCGCCCCCUCCCACCCCGAGACAUGAGGAGGAGGAGCCAAUAUCCCUCCGCCAAUCUAAGAAGUGAAUAAGUGGGGACCAACCCCUAACUCAUCAGUACGCCCCUCCUGAUUGGCUGCUUUCACAUUCCAAACCAGGCCUCAUUUCCUAGGAGCCGCUUUGCUCUCUGCUAGCCUGUCACCGUGAGGGAGGGGGAGGAGACAAAUCUCUCCACCAAUCAUUGAAGAGAAUAAAAGUAAGGGACCUCCCCUGGCUUAUUAGUACGGCUCUCCUGAUUGGCUACUUUCAUAUUCCGAGCCAGUCCUCAUUUCCUAGAAGCGCUUUGCACUUCGUGUUGCGUUAGAGGGAGGGGCUAACAUCGUUGCACCAAUCAAUGAAGAGAAUAAAAAAGGGAGGAAAUACCUUUUACCAGUACGGCCCCUCUGAUUGGCUACUUUUCCAUUCCGUGCAAGGCCGAAGGGCGUCAAGGGAGUUGUAGUCUCAAGUUCCUCUGAUCGAUGCCUAUGCCCCCCCGUCUAACCCAGCACGCAUCAGGAAGGGCAUAGAGAGCGUUCCCCAAGAUGGCGGCUGUUUGUCUUCGCUUUCAGGCUGGAGCCAGCUUUGCACUGAUUGGCGGAACCGGUCCCUGAGGUCACACCAGCUUGGAGGAUUCCCUCUGUGAAGUGGGACUGUGGCACCCGCCAGCCAGUCAGAGAGCAUUCCUCACUUCCAAUGCAGAUUCCCGCCAAUGGCUGACAGGGAACAGGAUGACCAGCUGGACAAAGGAGUGCAUAGUUUUGUGGAAGGAUUAGUGUGUCCCAACUUUGGGACAAACAAAGAGAGACCAUUUGGUUCCAUGAGUUCUAUUGUCUAGAUAUUUGUUUGUUUGUUUGUUUAGCUUUUUUUUCGUGUCAGGAGCAACCGGAGUUGCUUCUGGAGUGAGAGAAUUGGCCGUCUGCAAGGACGUUGCCCAGGGGACGCCCGGAUGUUUUGAUGUUUUUACCAUCCUUGUGGGAGGCUUCUCUCAUGUCCCCGCAUGGAGCUGGAGCUGAUAGAGGGAGCUCAUCCACACUCUCCCCAGGUGGGAUUCGAACCUGGCAGCUUUCAGGCCUUGUUUCUGCCACUGUGAAUCGAACUGCAGGCUUUAUUCUGCCUUUCAAAACUCCAACCAGAUCCAUCCACAAAAGCCACAGGGUGUGGGGAGAAGUGCAGACAAAGUCACAGCCUGGUGGACAGGUCUAUGAAGAUGUAGAAUAUAUUCCCACAAAGAAAGCCAAGAACCCCAUGAAGACAGUUGGUAUUGCUUGGUGAGCAUUGCAUUUGCUGUUUGCUUUAUGAAUGUUUCACUGCUCCUAGCCUUGUAACUAUUUGUAGCAUAGAAUGUUUGAAAAACCUAUCUGAGAGAAAGACAGGAAAGGAGUAGGGACUGUGUGACUCUCCACAGGUUUAGAUGGCGUCUCCUACCAUCUUUUAGCAUUUGUUACACUACCAAGGGCCAAUAGAAAUGAUAGUUGAGCAACACAUUUCCUGUUAUUGGGCCAUGAAACUUGUCCAUACAUGGGUUAUGUUCAAAACUGAGACUAACAGGACCCUGGGAAGAAAUAGGAUCUUGUGAUCUGGACUUUAAAUAAAAUCUGUGCUUGCUGAACUCUGAAACAAAGAAUCAGUCAUCAGAUUAUGCAAAAGGCAUAAAGUGAUAAUUUCUAAACACCUAAUUAGGAUGUUGGCAUUUGAGGCCUUGUUUAUGUGAAACAGAAUGAAAAGACUAAUGGUGUAUUGUAGGAAUUAGAAACCUUCCAGCAUCCCUUACAACUGGUCAAGCUGGUAGGUAUUGAUGGGAAAUUGAGCCCAUCAAUAUAUGGAGAGUCACUAAUUCUGUAACAAAAUUUCAUUGUGUUUUCUAGCUGUUAUACAGUAGAGUCUCACUUAUUCAAGCUAAACGGGCCGGCAGAACCUUGGAUAAGUGAAUAUCUUAGAUAAUAAGGAGGGAUAAAGGAAAAGCCUAUUUUCAACAUCAAAUUAGGUUAUGAUUUUACAAAUUAAGCACCAAAACAUGUUAUACAACAAAUUGACAGAAAAAGUAGUUCAAUACACAGUAAUGUUAUGUUGUAAUUACUGUAUUUACGAAUUUAGCGCCAAAAUAUCACGAUAUG
ensembl:lncRNA